CCUACGGGCGGCAGCAGUGAGGAAUCUUGGUCAAUGGCCGGAAGGCUGAACGAGCCAAGCCGCGUGAGGGACGACUGCUCUAUGGGUUGUAAACUUCUUUUUUAAGGGAAGAAUAAAUGCUACGUGUAGAGUGAACCCUGUAACUGAUGCAUAAGCAUCGGCUAAAGCCGUGUCAGCAGCCGCGGUAAUACGGAGGCUGCGAGCGUUAUCCGGAUUUAUUGGGUUUAAAGGGUGCGUAGGCGGUUAGUUAAGUUAGUGGUUAAACGUCGUGGCUUAACCUUGAUUUGCCAUUGAUACUGUAUGACUUGAGUGCAGGCGGGGUGAGUGGAAUAAGAUGAGUAGCGGUGAAAUGCUUAGAUAUA
rnacentral:rRNA from 1 species